rfam:Schistosoma mattheei strain Denwood, Zambia genome assembly, scaffold: SMTD_scaffold0000325
AUCCAGCUGAUGAGUCGUAAAUAGGAUGAAAUGCAUAUCCUGGAU